AGUAGAAAAACGUGUUUUAUGUCGUGAACAAAUACUUUUCAUAAAAAUGGCGUUUUAUACUGUACCAAGAAGCUACUAAGAUCUUACUUAUAUUCAAUGCUUCAAUUUUUAGUGUUUAGAAUCUAACCUCACUUUCAAGCUCAAUUGUUUUAUAAGCUUUCGGAAUCUUCUAAGAUUGUUGUUGUAUAAAGGAACUGUUUUUACAACGAAACUCAGAAAAUUAUAUAAUAAUAUAUUAUAACAAGUUAAUGAUGUCUCACGCCAUUGUUAGUGAUUGUAAUGAAGAUAAUAUGAAAAAAGCGAACAACUUAUUUGCGUCUUUAAAUGUUAAUCAAAGCGAAAAUAAUGAUUCGCUUAAAAUGAGCAUAUUGUCUUAUAUUAAAGCUGUAGAUAAAAAGAAUGAAUCGGUGUUAAGUAGCAGGGCUCACCAACAUAAACAGGAAUAUGAUUUAAAUAAAAUUGUAAGCAUAACGACAGACGAUAGUGUUCAUUAUGUUAAACGUAAACGCAAAUCUUUAAUAUGUCAAGAAAAGAUUGUAGAUAAUUCUACUGAAAAUGUCGAGAAACCAAGUUUAGACUUUACUGAUGAUUUACCCCAAAAGAAACAACCAAGGAUAUCUACAGAAUCGGAAAAGCAUAUAGAACUAAAUAAUCUAAUGACAUCUGAUGAUAUCAAAGCUAUAGACAACCUUUUGGAGUGUUUAAAAACAUAUGGAAAUGUAGCCGAACUGGAAGAAGAUGUAGUCGAUCCUGCAGAAGUGACGCAAACAUCAUUGUCGACUUCAAUCAAUCACCCAACAGAAAUGACCGAAAAUGUUAUAGAGGAGUGUGUUGAGCCGAUCGGGAUAAAACCUCCACAGCAAUGUAAAGCAAAACGUAUAAUGCAUCCAAAUGAGUAUAAGAAAGCCAAUUCAGUGGUUGUUAACGAACUACGACAAAGUAAUGAAAUUAUCGGAAAAGUUAUAAAUAUGCCUAUAGCGCCGUUCACGAUACAAAUUCCACCGCAAUGUAACGUACGCAUUAGAAUAAAACACAACAAAUAUUACAAAGACAUUUUACCGGUUGUUAACGUAUACAGCAAAUCUAAGCAUAUAAAAGUAAUAAGCCUGCCUCACAAAUUAAAAUCGAUUUAUAAUGAGAACGAGAUAAAUGCAGUUUUCCAAAUAAAUCGUCCUUAGGUCCUUAGUUCAGCCGGGUAACAGUUGGCACUCAGUGAGAGCGCCUGCCGACAGAGGUCGUUUGUUUUCAAGAAAACCUGGACCCAAGCGGCCGAAGGCGCCCAAGUCCAGCAGCGACCAUGUGUGCGCAUUGCAUAGAUUUAAGAUGGUCAAUCAUUGUGUAGCUAAAAUGAGACGAUGGGCGAUAGCGUUGAUAGUAAAUGUUUUGUCUGAUAUUGAAUGGAACAUCCUUCAGUAGAUCUAUAAAAUUAAUUUCAAAAAAAUUCUCAUUACAUGUUAAUGUUGAAUUAUCAUACCAACAAUCUACAUAACUUUGUAUAUUAUUUCCACAUAUGCUGCUGAGAUAUUUCAAAGAUAUUCGUGAUAUGUAGUUAGGAAUCAGUCUUUUAUGGCUGUGACAUGAAUAGGUACGCAAGUGUUCUACCACGAAUAAUUGCUUGAGAGAGCUUGAAUAAUUCUUUGUGGAAUGCAUGUGUACGUGCAACCUGUAUAUUUUGGGAUGUGCUGUUUUACACUUUGUUUUGUUUAAAACUCCCCAAGUGUACCUUUCUUAUAACUCUGCUUUUAUUUUCUGUUUACUGGAUAUUAUUUAAUUGUUUACACAAUUAUUUUGUCCAAGUUUCUUUGUCAUUUAUUGUUCUCAGUAUAAGUAUAAUUUUAAGAUUAUAAGGCAAUAAAUACGAGUUAUCUUUUUAUAUUUAUAUUUUAUAUGUUUUUAUUUAUACUUGAGGUAAGUUUCAAUAAUAUUUCAAAUAGAAACAAUACUUCUUUUAUAAAUUAUUUAACGUUUUCCAAUAAACUGUAAAAAAUAUGGUGCUGCUUCGUUCAUAUGAUAACUCCUCUUCCAGUGCUGUGAAAGGAAAAAUAUGUAUUUUAAUCACUAAUGUUGUGAUUCUAACCUGAACUAAAACCUUUAAUAAAAGCGAAAGAAACAAGAAUGACGGUUUGUUAAAAAUUAAAAUGUGCUUAAACGUCUUUUUUUUUUCACUUUUAUAGGCUAAAAACAUAAUAAAUUUUAACGGAUUGAAAUAAUUGUAGUUCCGCCUAUAGAGAAUCUAUUUACGAAUGAAAUAAAUUCCUGGCCAAAUAA
rnacentral:misc_RNA from 1 species